ensembl:lncRNA
UGGGGAUCAAAAUUAAAGAACAAUUUAUGAACACUUGAUUUAUUUUUAUUUUUUUUAGAAACAAUGUAAUCUUCAUCGUUCAAAAUUUGAAGUAAUUUUAGUUGUGGCUAUACCUAUCACAGGUGCACUACUGAGUGGAGUGCGGAGCAAGGAAUGGAGGGAGAUGAGGAGUACAUCAAUCCAGAGAAGUUUAAUUAUAACAACUCACAAAGCACAUGUAGAUAUGAACAAUACCGGACCCCGAACUGAAAACAAGGAACACUAUUUAAACAUGACGAGACGAGAAAUACCUGGGAUCAAUGGAAAUGAGACAUGGGAAACACCUGGGAUGAAAUGAUAAACAAUCAGGGAGCAGGAACACACACAAGACAUGGAACAGAGUCUAACAUUACUCCCCCCCUCCUGGAAGGCACGACCUCGCACCACACAACAUCCAACGGGAAGUGGGGGUGGGCACUCUGGAGGUCCCUCAGGACAGACAAGUGAUAGUGGGCCUCCAGAGCGGUACCCGUUCGGGGCACCAUGGUGGAUCUGGGGACUCAGGAGUUCAUGGCGGAUCUGGGGACCCGGGAGGCCAUGGCGGAGCAGCCUCCGAGGCAGCGGCCCCAGCCCUGACCUCGACCUCUACAGCUGGCUCAGCCACGGGUAUAUACCCCCCCCCCCAAAAAAAUAGGCAUCUUGAUGGAGCGGGCACUUGAGGGCGCUCUGGAGGAAUGGGCACUUGAGCGAGCUCUGGGGCUGGAGCUGACACUGGAGCUAACUGGAGAUCCGUUGCCCUUCCUGGGUGGAACUGGGGAAUCAGGAGCCCUCCCAGGGUCAAACGGGGAAUCAGGAGCUCUACCUGGGCUUAAUGGGGAAUCAGGAGCCCUCCCGGGGCUUAACUCAGGAACAGGAGCCCACCCAGGGCUUAACUCGGGAACAGUAGCCCACCCUGGGCUGAACUGGGGAUCAGGAGCCACCCCAAAGCUGAACUGGGGAUCGGGAGCCCUCCAUGGGCUAUACUCGGGAAUGGCAGCCCCUCCUGGGCUGAACUGGGGAUUGGGAGCCCCUCCUUGGGCUAUAGUCGGGAAUAGGAGCCCCUCCUGGGCUGAACUUGGGAACAGGAGCCCAUCCUGCGCUUGACUCGGGAACAGGAGCCCUUCCUGGCCUUGACUCGGGAACAGGAGCCCUUUCUGGCCUUGACUCGGGAACAGGAUCCCAUCCUGGGCUUGACUCGGGUACAGGAGCCCUUCCUGGUCUUGACUCGGGAACAGGAGCCCUUUCUGGCCUUGACUCGUGAACAGGAGCCCAUCCUGCGCUUGACU